UACGGGGGGGCAAGCGUUGUUCGGAAUUACUGGGCGUAAAGGGCUCGUAGGCGGCCAACUAAGUCCGACGUGAAAUCCCCAGGCUUAACCUGGGAACUGCGUCGGAUACUGGAUGGCUUGAAUCCGGGAGAGGGAUGCGGAAUUCCAGGUGUAGCGGUGAAAUGCGUAGAUAUCUGGAGGAACACCGGUGGCGAAGGCGGCAUCCUGGACCGGCAUUGACGCUGAUGAGCGAAAGCCAGGGAGCAAACGGG
rnacentral:rRNA from 1 species